rnacentral:rRNA from 1 species
CAGCAGCCGCGGGAAUACGUAGGUGGCAAGCGUUGUCCGGAGUUAUUGGGCGUAAAGCGCGCGCAGGUGGUUUAAUAAGUCUGAUGUGAAAGCCCACGGCUCAACCGUGGAGGGUCAUUGGAAACUAGUAGGCUAGAGUAUCGGAGAGGAAAGCGGAAUUCCUAGUGUAGCGGUGAAAUGCGUAGAUAUUAGGAAGAACACCAGUGGCGAAGGCGGCUUUCUGGACGAAAACUGACGCUGAGGCGCGAAAGCCAAGGGAGCGAACGGGAUUAGAUACCCGCGUAGUCCCUGUCUCUUAUAC